UUUGAUUUUAGAUUAAUACUUAAAAUUCAAAGAGUUUAACAUUUAUUAUCAGCCCCCUCUGACCACUUUUCUUUCUUUCUUUUUUUUUUUUUGAAACCUCCAGGUAACCUGUGAUGGGAGCAAGCUCAUCCUCAGAAGCCUCAAGGCAGAGUGUUCCUCCUGAGUCUUUUCAGCCUCUGAUAACCAUCAAUCUACUCUCUGCCUCUAGGAGACCCACUUUUUCAGCUCCCACAUGGUAAGAAAACUGAAAAAUUGAGCAAAUGAUCAUCCUUUCCACAGCUGGUGAGCAUCAGAGGCAGAGCUUGAUACUACGCAUUCUGACUGCAGUGCCCAUGCAGCAUGAAAAAAUUUAA
rnacentral:lncRNA from 13 species